GGAAACUUGGAAACUACCGUUGGAUCGAGAAAUGGACGUCCGAGAUUCGUCCACGUCACCAUAAGUUAAAAUUUAACUCCUAGUAAAAUUUUAACUCAUGAGUGAAUCUGCGAGUUAAAUUUUAACUCAGGGUGACGUGAACGAAUCUCGAACGUUCAUUUCUCGAUCCAACGGUAGUUUCCAAGUUUUC
rnacentral:pre_miRNA from 1 species